rnacentral:pre_miRNA from 1 species
AGUGGAAUUGCUGGGUCAUAUGGUAAGUGUAUGUUUAGUUUUAUAAGAGACUGUCAGGCUGUUUUUCAAAGUGACUGUACUAUUUUGCAUCCCCAGCGGCAAU